rnacentral:tRNA from 1 species
AAGCCUUUCACUCAGCGGUAGAGUAACGUCACGGUAAGGCUAAGGCGUAAGUUAUUGGUUCAAAUCCGAUAAGGGGCA